rnacentral:rRNA from 1 species
GACGAACGCUGGCGGCGUGCCUAAUACAUGCAAGUAGGACGCAGUUGCGAACGGGUGAGUAACGCGUAGGUAACUACCUAUUAGAGGGGGAUAACUAUUGGAAACGAUAGCUAAUACCGCAUACUAGUAGAUGGACCUGCGUUGUAUUAGGUAGUCGGGAGGGUAAUGGCCUACCUAGGCAACGAUACAUAGCCGACCUGGUAGGGUGAUCGGCCACACUGGGACUGAGGAACGGGCCAGACUCCUACGGGAGGCAGCAGUAGGGAAUCAUCGGAAAUGGGGCGAAACCUGACCGAGCAACGGCGCGGUAGUGAAGAAGGUCUUCGGAUCGUAAAGCUCUGUUGUUAAGGAAGCGGUACUUAACCAGAAAGGGACGGCUAACUACGUGCCAGCAGCCGCGGUAAUUC